rnacentral:rRNA from 1 species
UACGGAGGGGGCUAGCGUUGUUCGGAAUUACUGGGCGUAAAGCGCACGUAGGCGGCUUUGUAAGUUAGAGGUGAAAGCCCGGAGCUCAACUCCGGAAUUGCCUUUAAGACUGCCUCGCUUGAAUCCAGGAGAGGUGAGUGGAAUUCCGAGUGUAGAGGUGAAAUUCGUAGAUAUUCGCAGGAACACCAGUGGCGAAGGCGGCUCACUGGUCCAUUACUGACGCUGAGGUGCGAAAGCGUGGGGAGCAAACAGG